rnacentral:lncRNA from 10 species
CAAAAAUAAAAAUAAAAAUAAAAAAUAAAUGAUUAAUUCAGCUAAAGACUAAUAGAUACUGUAUAUUUGCAAUUGUUGGAGAGCUCGAUUUGUAUAAAUUGUUUAUUUUGAAUCUUUCUGAGCUCACUCACCAUUAUGUGCUAAUUUUUACCCUGAGAAGUGUCAAUUAUGAUAACAUUUUGGAUUAGAAAACUACUUUCAUCCUGUUUUAUGGGAGAUUUUUAGAGCAUUUUUAGAGCAUUCUAUAAAUAAGGAUACAUCAUGGAUAGGGGUUCUGCAGUUUUCAGUAGCUGGUAGAUACCUGUACCUUAAGCACACUCUUUGUCUUAAAUAAAGACAAUAGACCAAUGCAUAGAAUUUUUGUUCUGAGGAUCUAGACUUUAUCAGAUACUUCCUAUACAGCAUUGCAUAAGACAUAGAUGCUUCAUUGUUUUUAACAUGAGCCCAGUUGAGUCUCUCUAAUAUUAAAGCAUUGGGUAAUAAAUGCCUUGUUAAAAUGUGUUUAUCUUAUAAUGGUCUUGUUUGUAACACUAUCUGGAUUGUUGCUAGAAUGCCCCCAGAUCUCCAGAAGUGUGGAAUUUGAUCUAAAGCAACCCACACCCCUCCCAGUCAGGCAAAAGACACAGAUAAUUCAGAAGAUGGUUGAAACUAAUUAUACAAUAUCAGUGCAUUUUAAGCAUUUUGUGAAUGUCAUUGGCCUCCAUGUUGCUAACUCCAACAGAUAUUUUUUCAGUUCUCAUUUUCCUUGAUCUUUUGGUAGCCUUCAACUCUGAGUACCACUGCCUCCUUUUUAAAAGGCCCUCUUUUCCUCUGCCAUUAGUAACACUAAACUCACUCCUGGCUUUUCUUCUUCAGACUCAGGAAUACUUGCUGGGUCAUCCUUUUCUACCCAGCAUUUAAAUUCUGGAAUUCAAACGCUCAGUUUUAGGACCCUCCUAGGAGUUCAGUGAUCAUUUAUUGACUCUUACAAUCCCUGUCAAAAACACAAACUGUUUGCCUAUUGUUACUCUAUUUUUAAAUGAUGAAAACUGAAUUUUAAUACUUGAGAGGCAUGUCACUUCUUCCUCUCCCACAAUCCUUACUCUGUGUAGGCAUUUGGGUUAGCCCUUGUGUUACCCGAGGCUCAUACUGCUUCCAGCAGCAGGGCUCCUGCACCCUUAGUUCCUUCCCUAACGAGGCCCUCACCAGCCACCUCCCAUCCC